rnacentral:rRNA from 1 species
UACGUAGGGCGCAAGCGUUGUCCGGAAUUAUUGGGCGUAAAGAGCUCGUAGGCGGUCUGUCGCGUCGGAUGUGAAAGCCCGGGGCUUAACCCCGGGUCUGCAUUCGAUACGGGCAGACUAGAGUGUGGUAGGGGAGAUCGGAAUUCCUGGUGUAGCGGUGAAAUGCGCAGAUAUCAGGAGGAACACCGGUGGCGAAGGCGGAUCUCUGGCCAUUACUGACGCUGGGGAGCGAAAGCGUGGGAGCGAACGAGG